UACGGAGGGUGCGAGCGUUGUCCGGAAUCACUGGGCGUAAAGGGCGCGUAGGCGGCCUGAUAAGUCGGGGGUGAAAUCCUGCGGCUUAACCGCAGGGCUGCCUUCUAAACUGUCAGGCUAGAGCACAGUAGAGGCAGGUGGAAUUCCCGGUGUAGCGGUGGAAUGCGUAGAGAUCGGGAAGAACAUCAGUGGCGAAGGCGGCCUGCUGGGCUGUUGCUGACGCUGAGCCGCGACAGCGUGGGGAGCAAACAGG
rnacentral:rRNA from 1 species